ensembl:lncRNA
CCGGACUUUGGUGAAAGGCAGGCAGGCAUGGCCGGUUCUCUAGGAGUCCUAUACAUCGAACGGGCGGUUAUUGCAGCUGUACGGGCUGCACUCCAAGGUGUUUCUCCCCCGGUCCAGUCCACAACAUCAACGGUUUCAACACCAGCGGUGCCCAGUGCCACAGGCACUUCCAACUUUGCCGCCACUGUCACAUCACUGAGAUCAAGAAGGAGCUUGGGGAACAUCUUAAUGCCAGGAACCUCACUGAGGCAGAAAACGCGUUUAUCCUAACAUUGAAUCCUGGACACAUCCUAGCCUUUGCAACAGGCAGCAGCAAAGCUCCUGCAAUUGGAUUCCCUCUCAGUCCAAAACUGGACUGAGAGGGAGAUGACAAUGAAUUUGAUUACAUUUUUCUGGUGGCUCUCAUAAAUGGAUACAUUUUUAGUGCUGGGUGUAGUCUACAUAGAAACAAUGCUUGGGCUGUACAUUUGGAGCCCAGAGCUUUUAAUGGUUGGACUUGCUGAGAAUCUGCUGUAGGAUGUUCUUUUGAGUUAAAACUGUAAAUCGUUUUGCCUAAAUUCUGAUCUGAACUAUGUGCCAUAUAAUUUGGACAAGGCAGUGUGUACACUCGUGUUUUUGCUUUUAUGAGGUUGCGCUCUUGUCAGAUUUCAUCAACAAGUCCAGUUGUCAGUAUUGUGCAUUUUUGCAGUAUUGCUGUUCUCAGGUAUGUUCUUGUCUGAUUAAUAUUCAUUGUUCAUUUUAGCAGUAUCGGACAGAC